rnacentral:rRNA from 1 species
CCUACGGGUGGCUGCAGUGGGGAAUAUUGGACAAUGGGCGAAAGCCUGAUCCAGCCAUGCCGCGUGUGUGAAGAAGGCCUUCGGGUUGUAAAGCACUUUCAGUGGGGAAGAAAGCCUUGGGGCUAAUACCCUCGAGGAAGGACAUCACCCACAGAAGAAGCACCGGCUAACUCCGUGCCAGCAGCCGCGGUAAUACGGAGGGUGCGAGCGUUAAUCGGAAUUACUGGGCGUAAAGCGCGCGUAGGCGGUCUGAUAAGCCGGUUGUGAAAGCCCCGGGCUCAACCUGGGAACGGCAUCCGGAACUGUCAGGCUAGAGUGCAGGAGAGGAAGGUAGAAUUCCCGGUGUAGCGGUGAAAUGCGUAGAGAUCGGGAGGAAUACCAGUGGCGAAGGCGGCCUUCUGGACUGACACUGACGCUGAGGUGCGAAAGCGUGGGUAGCAAACAGGAUUAGGUACCCGAGUGUC